GCAGCUGUAAAAAGAAAAGAAAAAAAAAAGAACCAAAUGGAGCACCCAGCUGUGACACACGCCUUUAGAAGAGGCCUGCGUGGGUUUGCUGUUGCUGCCUACAAACAAUUUAUCACAAACUGAGUAGUUUCAGACAACACCCAGAUGGGGAACCACAGAACUAUGGAAAUUUUCCCAAGACUCCAGAGCCUAGAAUCCAGGCCUGUCCAGCCCCAAAGCCCAGAAACUGCUGUUGGGUCCUACGUGGGCGAGCCUGACAAUGCACAGGCUGGGACACCAACGCUGGGAGUCGGGAAGGAAGAGCUGCCAUGCAGUCAAGGGACCAGGGGCUCCAGAGUGCGGGCCUGUGACCGUUCAGUGCUGGCCUGGCUCCGUGCACCAAGAAGGAGAAGGUUAAUACCGGACCUGUGCAUAAUGAUACAUAAUUUAAGCCUUGUAAAAGCUGCCUGGGACUUGAAAGAAACGCACUCUAAGCCAGGAAGCUGUGCCCAGCAUGCAAGAGCAGCCCAGCCAGCCACCCCUGAACUGCUCCUAUUCCCAGCACAGUCAAGAAAGAGCCGCCAUCAAAACGGAAACGCUGGGACAUCGCUCAACCCAAGUUGCAAAGCUCUGCAGGCCUGUGAAACGUUUUUUUUUUUUUUUUCUUCUUUAAAGGCCACUGAUUUUUAGUUGCACAUUCACUCACUUGGUGAGGGGGACAGGUGUACAUCAUGGAAAUCCCACCAUCAGGUUUCCUGGGGCUCUUUGCUACCUAAGAAAUAUGACCAAUAAGUUCACUUUGACUCACUGACCCCUCAGAUCAGCCAGUAAAAUGAAGCCCUUACACCGCAGCUUGCUCAAGGGGCGGUGUAAUUAUUUUACUUAAAAAUGAUGUCAGGUGGCAGUUGAGCAACAAACCAGCCUCCAGACUACUUAAUUCAGUUUAACAAGGAGGAAAAACCUUGUAAUUAACCAAGAGCUUUUGCUUUAGGAGUUCAGUGAAGCUGUUCUCAAAGUUUGCAGAACCUCAGCUAGGGGGGAUUGGGGUGGAGGGGGCAGCUUGUUGAAAGUACAGGUUCCCAGGCCCCGCUUGUAAAUCAUGGGCCAGGCCUGGGACUCUGCAUUUCAGAGAAAUCCCAUUUGCAAGUGCCGCUUCUGAGCAUCACUUGGUCUCACUGGGCUUUUAGACAAGGUAUGCCCUCAUUUUCUGCUCUAACUCUCCAUUGGGUAAGUCUAGAAUCCCAGGACCAUCUCCCAUCCUACAGCAACCAACUUUGAGCUGAUUUUUUUCUUGGAGUUUCAUAGUAUGUAUGUUCUCUUUUUGGAGUUCCAGUUAGCCACAUUUCUGGAUGGAAAUUCUUCCAGGACCUUCUUACAGAGGGCACAGAAUGUUCCCCAGAGGAUAGGGAAGGCUCUGAGUCCCUUCUUUAGGUGCGGGGGAGGGGUGCACCUGUGGCAUGAGGACGUUCUGGGCCAGGGAUCGAACCCUUGUCACAGCAAUAACCUGAGCCACAGCAGUAACACUGGAUGCUUAACCCUCUGAGCUGCCAGGGAACUCCAUUUUUCCUUUUUUUCUGAGUACCUUCUUUUACAUACCCCUGCCCCCAGGAUCACCAGGGCUAUCGUGCCUGAUUGAUGCCUUCUACCUGGAGGAAAGGGAAAAUCGCCCUUGACCACCAAAGUCCCAUCUUUGAGCCAUGUCCACGUGCUUCCCAUCUCUGCCUUUCCACUGCUGAGCAUGUCCUGGCGCGAAGGCUCCUUAGAACCACAAUCCCGAGAUCACUUCCCUCCUGGAAUAAAGAAUUGCAGAGGCUCAUUCAACAUUUUUCUUGGCACAAAAGCAUCUGGCCGCUACCCAGGGAAUUCUGGAGUCCUGCAGAGUCCAAGCUUACGAAUCACCAGAGCAAGGUCGUGUUUGGAUUCAGACUGUGUCCUGCUCGGCGAUCUCUGUCCCUACACGGGGGGGAGCCCUGCUCCCCUCCUCUGACCCCACCCUGGAGAAACCAGCUGCCUCCCAGCAGAGAGCAACGACAGGAGGGCUACACCCAGACAAGGAGUUAUGGGAGCCUGGAUGCAUCACUAUCCAUGUCAUAUGGGCUGCCUCCCCAAUGAGCCAAGACACAGUCCCUGACUCCCUUGACGGCCUCCGCACACACAAGAAACAAGGGACACUUCAAUCCCACCAUCCAUUUUCUUUUUUUUUUUAGGGCCACACAUCCAUGCAGCUUCUGACCUACACUACAGCUC